GACGAACGCUGGCGGCGUGCCUAAUACAUGCAAGUUGAGCGCUGAAGGUUGGUACUUGUACCAACUGGAUGAGCAGCGAACGGGUGAGUAACGCGUGGGGAAUCUGCCUUUGAGCGGGGGACAACAUUUGGAAACGAAUGCUAAUACCGCAUAAAAACUUUAAACACAAGUUUUAAGUUUGAAAGAUGCAAUUGCAUCACUCAAAGAUGAUCCCGCGUUGUAUUAGCUAGUUGGUGAGGUAAAGGCUCACCAAGGCGAUGAUACAUAGCCGACCUGAGAGGGUGAUCGGCCACAUUGGGACUGAGGCACGGCCCAAACUCCUACGGGAGGCAGCAGUAGGGAAUCUUCGGCAAUGGACGAAAGUCUGACCGAGCAACGCCGCGUGAGUGAAGAAGGUUUUCGGAUCGUAAAACUCUGUUGGUAGAGAAGAACGUUGGCGAGAGUGGAAAGCUCAUCAAGUGACGGUAACUACCCAGAAAGGGACGGCUAACUACGUG
rnacentral:rRNA from 1 species